rnacentral:sRNA from 1 species
AUUCCAUUGAAAAAGAAAUGCCCAUCA